GACGAACGCUGGCGGCGUGCCUAAUACAUGCAAGUAGAACGCUGAAGGAGGAGCUUGCUUCUCCGGAUGAGUUGCGAACGGGUGAGUAACGCGUAGGUAACCUGCCUGGUAGCGGGGGAUAACUAUUGGAAACGAUAGCUAGUACCGCAUAAGAGUAGAUGUCGCAUGACAUUUGCUUAAAAGGUGCAACUGCACCACUACCAGAUGGACCUGCGUUGUAUUAGCUAGUUGGUGAGGUAACGGCUCACCAAGGCAACGAUACAUAGCCGACCUGAGAGGGUGAUCGGCCACACUGGGACUGAGACACGGCCCAGACUCCUACGGGAGGCAGCAGUAGGGAAUCUUCGGCAAUAGACGGAAGUCUGACCGAGCAACGCCGCGUGAGUGAAGAAGGUUUUCGGAUCGUAAAGCUCUGUUGUAAGAGAAGAACGAGUGUGAGAGUGGAAAGUUCACACUGUGACGGUAGCUUACCAGAAAGGGACGGCUAACUACGUG
rnacentral:rRNA from 1 species